AGAGUUCGAUCCUGGCUCAGGAUGAAUGCUGGCUGCAUGCUUAACACAUGCAAGUCUGACGGGAAGUGGUGUUUCUAGUGGCGAACGGGUGAGAAACGCGUAAGAACCUGCCCUUGGGGGGGGGGGAACGGGGGGGAACAACAACUGGAAACGGCUACUAAUACCCCGUAGGCUGAGGAGCAAAAGGAGGAAUCCACCUGAGGAAAGGCUUGCGUCUGAUUAGCUAUUUGGUGAGGCAAGAGCUUACCAAGGCGAUGAUCAGUAGCUGGUCCAAGAGGAUGAUCAGCCACACUGGGACUGAGACACGGCCCAUAUUCCUAUGCGAGCCAGCAGUGGGGAAUUUUCUGCAAUGGGCGAAAGCCUGACGGAGCAAUGCUGCUUGGACAUAGAAGGCCUACAGGUCGUGAACGUUUUUUCCAGAGAAGAAACAAUGACGGUAUCUGGGGAAUAGGCAUCAGCUAACUCUGUGCUAACAGCCACUGUAAUACAGAGGAUGCAAGUGUUAUCCGGAAUGAUUAGGCUUAAAGCAUCUAUAGGUGGCUUUUUAAGUUCGCCAUCAAAUCCCAGGGCUCAACCCUGGACAGGCAGUGGAAACUACCAAGCUGGAGUACGGUAGGGGCAAAGGGAAUUUCUGGUAGAGCGGUGAAAUGCAUAGAGAUAAAAAAGAACACCAACGGUAAAAGCACUGUGCUGGGUGUAAACGAUGGAUACUAGGCGCUGUGCGUAUCGACCCAUGCAGUGCCGUACCUAACACGUUAGGUAUCCCACCUGGGGAGUACAUUCGCAAGAAUGAAACUCAAAGGAAUUAACAGGGACCUACACAAGCAGUGGAGCAUGUGGUUUAAUUCGAUGCAAAGCGAACAACCUUACUAGGGCUUGACAUGCCGCGAAUCCUCUUCAAAUAGAAGGGUGCCUUCGGGAACGCAGACAGAGGUGGUGCAUGGCUGUCGUCAGCUCGUGCCGUAAGGUGUUUGGAACAACCCGUAAGGUGUCACGGAUAAAGCACAACCCUCAUGUUUAGUUGCCACCGUUGAGUUUGGAACCCUGAGCAGACUGCCGAUGAUAAGCAGGAGGAAGGUGAGGAUGACGUCAAGUCAUCAUGCGUCUUAUGACCUGGGCAACACACGUGCUACAAUGGCCGGGACAAAGGGUCGCGAUCCCUCAAGGGUGAACUAGCUCCAAAAACCCAUCCUCAGUUCGAAUUGCAGGCUGCAACUCGCGUACACGAAGCCGAAAUCGCUAGUAAUCGUCGAUCAGCCAUACGGCGGUGAAUUCGUUCUCGGGCCUUGUACACACCGCCCAUCACACUAUGGGAGUUGGCCAUGCCCGAAGUCAUUAUCUUAACCAUAAGGAGGGGGAUGCCGAAGGCAGAGCUAGUGGCUUGAGUGAAGUCGUCACAAGGUAGCCAUACUGGAAGGUGUGGCUG
rnacentral:rRNA from 1 species